rnacentral:rRNA from 1 species
AAUGGUUAAACUAAAGGGAAAAACAAAUAUUAAGUCACGAAACAAGACGAGCUAUUUUUGACCAACAUAAUAUGGAUGUAGCAGAAUCCAUGGAAGAGGAAAAAAUAGGGGUGAUAGGCCUAUCAAGUCUUGGGAUAUCUUGAUGCUAAUGAAAAGUAUUUAGUACUAAGGUAAAUUAUAAAUGAUAAGGUUUGUAAUUUGAACUAAGUAUGAUAAUUAAGUAUUUCCAGAUUUAAGUUUAACAAAUAAAUUAACAAAAGAUUAAUUUCAAGCUAUUGUUUCUUUAAAUUAGCCAUACCCUAAUUUUUAAAUAACUGAUAAUGUUUAAAUGAGUAUUCAAGAAAGUAGAGAAAAGGAACUCGGCAAAUCUUAUUUUCGACUGUUUAUCAAAAACAUAGCCAGAUGGAGCACGUUUGGUGGAUUCUGCUCAAUGAAAUCUAAAUAGCCGCAGUACUCUGAC